rnacentral:rRNA from 1 species
UACGAAGGGUGCAAACGUUGCUCGGAAUCAUUGGGCGUAAAGCGCACGUAGGCGGCUUUGCAAGUCGGACGUGAAAUCCCUCAGCUCAACUGAGGACGUGCAUCCGAAACUGCAAGGCUUGAGUACUGAAGAGGAUCGCGGAAUUCCCGGUGUAGAGGUGAAAUUCGUAGAUAUCGGGAGGAACACCAGUGGCGAAGGCGGCGAUCUGGGCAGAUACUGACGCUGAGGUGCGAAAGCGUGGGGAGCAAACAGGG